rnacentral:rRNA from 1 species
AACCUUUACACUGCACGACAGUGCGAUAGGGGGACUCCGAGUGCGAGGGCAUAUAGUCCUCGCUUUUCUGUACCGUAAGGUGGUACAGGAACAAGGGCUGGGCAAGACCGGUGCCAGCCGCGUCGGUAACACCGGCAGCGCAAGUGAUGGCCGAUUGUAUUGGGCCUAAAGCGUCCGUAGCUGGCCGCGCAAGUUCGUCGGGAAAUCCACGCGCUUAACGUGUGGGCGUCCGGCGGAAACUGAUCGGCUUGGGACCGGAAGACUCGAGGGGUACGUCCGGGGUAGGAGUGAAAUCCCGUAAUCCUGGACGGACCACCGAUGGCGAAAGCACCUCAGAAGGACGGAUCCGACAGUGAGGGACGAAAGCCAGGGUCUCGAACCGGAUUAGAUACCCGGGUAGUCCUGGCCGUAAACGAUGUUCGCUAGGUGUGGCGCAGGCUACGAGCCUGCGCUGUGCCGUAGGGAAGCCGUGAAGCGAACCGCCUGGGAAGUACGCCUGCAAGGAUGAAACUUAA